rnacentral:tRNA from 1 species
GGGCGCGUAGCUCAGGGGGAGAGCACUGUCUUCACACGGCAGGGCUCGCUGGUUCAAUCCCAGCCGCGCCCACCA